UCACUAUUAUGGUGCAGGUCCUGCAUAGG
rnacentral:sRNA from 1 species